CUCAAUGAAAAUUUAAUAGCCGCAAUAUAUUGUGCUAAGGUAGCAUAAUCAUUUGUCUUUUAAUUAAAGACUAGUACGAAAGAUUCAAUAUUUUAAUUUCUUUUUUAUAUAUAAAACAACAAUUUAUUCUAAAUAUAAAAAAAUAUUUAUAUUUAAAAAAGACGAUAAGACCCUAUUGAACUUAACUAUAGUUAAACUGGGGUAGUUAAUUAAAUAUAAUUUUAAUUAUAAAAUUUAAAAUACCCAAUAAAAUUGAUUAAUCAAGUUACCAUAGGGAUAACAGCGUAAUAAUUAUUUAAAGAUCUUAUUUCAAAAAUUGAUUGCGACCUCGAUGUUGAAUUAAUAAUCUAUUAAAUGCAAUAAUUUAAUAAGAAAGUC
rnacentral:rRNA from 1 species